GGGGAUGACAUGGCUUCGACGCUGGUGAUGAAACUCUGAGGUGCAUGUCGAGAGUGAGAUGUCUCUCGUAAAUACCAAUCUCAAAAACUAGUCGCAAACGACGAAACCUACGCACUCGCAGCUUAAUAGUUAGCGAAACAUUGAACUCGGACGCCGGUGGCCGUGGGAUAUGGGCGUAACGCUACACUGGCUCGCAAUAUGUCUCGUCUCGCGACAUAACGUUAAAACUCAGAGAAUCGUUGGCUACGUCCUGUCUGUCGGGUAGUAGUCGAUUAAAUCAAUAGACAAGACUAAACAUGUAGAGCCAAGAGCGUAGUGUCGGCGGACGGGGGUUCAAUUCCCCCCAUCUCCACCA
rnacentral:tmRNA from 1 species